rnacentral:rRNA from 1 species
GCUUGAGCUGGCAUUGCAGGUGCUUCGGCGUCUCCAUUCAUUCCAAUUCAAACACCUGUGCACCUCGAGAACGUGAGUUGGGUUAUUGGAUCUGUGGUUCAUUUAUUCCCUUAUUUGGGUUGAACUUAGUGAAAGUGCCCGCUUUCGUUUCUUAUUACAAACUCGUUAUAUUGUUUUGUAGAAUGUAUCGCCUUUAAAUAGGCAAAGUCUAAAUACAACUUUCAACAACGGAUCUCUUGGCUCUCGCAUCGAUGAAGAACGCAGCGAAAUGCGAUAAGUAAUGUGAAUUGCAGAAUUCAGUGAAUCAUCGAAUCUUUGAACGCACCUUGCGCUCCUUGGUAUUCCGAGGAGCAUGCCUGUUUGAGUGUCAUUAUGUACUCAACUCCCUUGAUUUUUUUAAUAAAAUCAUUCGAGUUGGAUUUGGAGGUUCUUCAUGCUGGUCCUCGCGGAUCGGCUCCUCUCAAAUGCAUUAGCUGAGCUUUCGCUUGAUGCAAUGGUGUAAUAAUUAUCUUCACCGAUGCAACUAGUGAUAUAGGCUUGCUUCUAAUCGUCUCCUAUCCGAGACAUUAUAAAAGAUAAACCCUUUUCGGGGGGAGACUCUUUUUGACUCUUCUGACCUCAAAUCAGGUAGGAUUACCCGCUGAACUUAAGCAUAUCAUA